AACGAACGCUGGCGGCAGGCUUAACACAUGCAAGUCGAGCGAGGACUUCGGUCCUAGCGGCGGACGGGUGAGUAACGCGUGGGAACGUGCCCUUUCCUCCGGAAUAGCCCAGGGAAACUUGGAUUAAUGCCGGAUACGCCCUUUUGGGGAAAGAUUUAUCGGGGAAGGAUCGGCCCGCGUUGGAUUAGGUAGUUGGUGGGGUAAUGGCCUACCAAGCCGACGAUCCAUAGCUGGUUUGAGAGGAUGAUCAGCCACACUGGGACUGAGACACGGCCCAGACUCCUACGGGAGGCAGCAGUGGGGAAUCUUGGACAAUGGGGGCAACCCUGAUCCAGCCAUGCCGCGUGAUCGAUGAAGGCCUUAGGGUUGUAAAGAUCUUUCAGCUGGGAAGAUAAUGACGGUACCAGCAGAAGAAGCCCCGGCUAACUCCGUGCCAGCCGCCGCGGUAA
rnacentral:rRNA from 1 species